UGGGUGGAGCAGGUGGGGAUGGGUUGCCGGUAGCAGUGGAAGCAAGUGGAGAUGGUUGGCAGUAGGAGGUGAAGCAGGUAGAGAAGAGCUCACAAGCACUUGGGUCUGAUCCUGCCGCGGCUUAGAGGAGCAGGGAGGUGCCGUGCCAGGCGGGCUGGCUGCCCCCGGCAGAGGAAGCAGCAGCUGAACGUUGCCAUCAAUAUUCCAAGCCCUCUGCUGGCCCUUCCGUGCCUGUUUACUCACCGGCAGCCCCCUGGAAACUUGGUCCGACGCAAUCUGCAAGUCAAACAACUUUUCAAACGAGCAAAAUGCACCCCCAGAGCCUCCAUCGCGGAGCGAGGGAAUCCACUUGAAACAGGAUUGAUUUCAUCUUAAAGGGAAGGGCCCUUUGAACCCCUCCCAGCUGCAGUUGUCUUGUUUGGUUUUCAAUCCUCUGACAAAAUGCUGCCAUAUUGUGUCAAAUAAAGGAGAUAAUAAACCAGCUUUAAACAAA